GUUCCUGGUGAGCGAGGAGGCAGCGAUACAUUGGUAUUGUAGGCUAAUUCGGUCAAAGAGCUCUUAGUAGUGGGUGCAGGUUUCGAGUAGGCAAGAGGCACUGGUUGAACGGGUAGGGCUGGAGAAGAUUGAGUAAGAAUACUUCCGGUAGUUGUUACUCCUACAUUACCGCGUUGCUGAACUCCAGUAUUUGUAGUAUUUGUUUUCGAUACGGUAGCAAUCACAGGCGGUACACUGGGAGUAACUAAUGCGCCUU